GACUGAACUUUCCCCUGAGUACCAUUCCAGCUCGUCUCUUUCUCAGACAAGUCUGCCUAUCCAUUAACGGCUGCCAAAAAUGCUCGUCAGGCUUAUCAUCCAAGUGAUUAUGGCGCUCCUGGCCUUGGCUACUGUUCAAGCUAUUCCUGGCUACAGAAGGGGAUACGGCGGUGGCUACAGAGGGGGUUACGGAGGUGGUGGAUUCUCCCACCGUGGAGGAUACGGCGGCUACGGCAGAGGCUUUGGAGGUUACGGAUACGGGAAAUAGCAUCCCAGAGAGUACGGAAGAGAAGCUGGGAAUCACCAAAUAGCUCCGCUUUCCCAGAAACAAAUCUGCUUUGGAAUUUUCACAUUGCUUCUGCUUUUCAAUGCCUAUCAGAGGAAUGUCUAUUGCUUCCUCCUGUAAUUUUUUUCGGUUUUGACAAAAAAAAAAAAAAAACUACAUGUUCACCGUUUGAAACUAUGGUCUUUGCAUGGAAAUUUAAUAUCUAAUAUUUCGAUUUGUGCUACAAUCAUUAUAUGUAAAGGGAAGCUCCCAGUAUGUCUGUAAUAAAAGGAGAAAAGUAA